AGUGAACGCUGGCGGUAGGCCUAACACAUGCAAGUCGAACGGCAGCACAGUAAGAGCUUGCUCUUACGGGUGGCGAGUGGCGGACGGGUGAGGAAUACAUCGGAAUCUACUUUUUCGUGGGGGAUAACGUAGGGAAACUUACGCUAAUACCGCAUACGACCUACGGGUGAAAGCAGGGGAUCUUCGGACCUUACGCGAUUGAAUGAGCCGAUGUCGGAUUAGCUAGUUGGCGGGGUAAAGGCCCACCAAGGCGACGAUCCGUAGCUGGUCUGAGAGGAUGAUCAGCCACACUGGAACUGAGACACGGUCCAGACUCCUACGGGAGGCAGCAGUGGGGAAUAUUGGACAAUGGGCGCAAGCCUGAUCCAGCCAUACCGCGUGGGUGAAGAAGGCCUUCGGGUUGUAAAGCCCUUUUGUUGGGAAAGAAAAGCAGCAGGUUAAUACCCCGCUGUUCUGACGGUACCCAAAGAAUAAGCACCGGCUAACUUCG
rnacentral:rRNA from 1 species